rnacentral:tRNA from 2 species
GCAAUACUAGUGUAAUGGUAGCCCGUCUGAUUGCCAUUCAGAAAGUAGGGGUUCGAUUCCCCUGUAUUGCU